rnacentral:rRNA from 1 species
AUUCCAGCUCCAGUAGCGUAUAUUAAAGUUGUUGCAGUUAAAAAGCUCGUAGUUGGAUUUCUGGUACGCCAGCGCUGACCCUGUUCCAUUACGGAUAUGUGUGUCGGAUUUUGGCUGCCAUCCUUCCAGAGAACUCGUUCUACCCUUCACUGGGCCGGGACAGCGAUCUGGAACUUUUACUUUGAAAAAAUUAGAGUGUUCAAAGCAGGCUUGCGCUAUGAAUACAUUAGCAUGGAAUAAUGAGAUAGGACUUUGGCGGUCUAUUUUGUUGGUUUGCACGCCGAAGUAAUGAUUAACAGGGACGGUUGGGAUUCUUCGUAUUCAAUUGUCAGAGGUGAAAUUCUUGGAUUUAUGGAAGACGAACUGCUGCGAAAGCGUCGAACAAGGACGUUCUCAUCG